ACAACACAAGGCACACGGAUGCACUGCAACAUUCAACAUCUUGUUGUAAAAGGUCCUGAGGCUGUGAGCAGAAAAACACAGGAAGAGUGGAGCCUGAUGGAAAGGUCAGCCCAAGAAGAGGAAUGGUAAAGAAGUUUUCCUGGGUAAAAAGAAGGAAAAGAUGAAGUGGAAAGAAUGUUGAAAGGCUGCAUCAGGACUGCACUGAAGAAAAGAGCAAAGCAUUCUGUAAUUAUAGUGUAUUUUCUAAAAGGAGAAAUAAGAGUUUCAACAAGAAAUGAGAGGAGAUUUGAAGAAGUCUCCCUGUUUCACUAGUCAGUAGCCUGGAUGUAUGCUGAGUAGUUUCCAAACGCUGAAGAAGAAUGGAGCCACACGUCAAGAUCUCAAACUCUGAGAGAAGAUGACAAUAUGGUUAAGAGAACAAUAUGCA
rnacentral:lncRNA from 1 species